rnacentral:rRNA from 1 species
CCUACGGGGGGCAGCAGUGAGGAAUAUUGGUCAAUGGGCGGAAGCCUGAACCAGCCAAGUCGCGUGAGGGAAUAAGGCCCUACGGGUCGUAAACCUCUUUUGCCGGGGAGCAAGGGCGGGGACGUGUCCCGGCCCGGAGAGUACCCGGAGAAAAAGCAUCGGCUAACUCCGUGCCAGCAGCCGCGGUAAUACGGAGGAUGCGAGCGUUAUCCGGAUUUAUUGGGUUUAAAGGGUGCGUAGGCGGGCUUUUAAGUCAGCGGUAAAAAUUCGGGGCUCAACCCCGUCCGGCCGUUGAAACUGGGGGC